CAGUAGCCGCGGUAAUACGAAGGGUGCAAGCGUUACUCGGAAUUACUGGGCGUAAAGCGUGCGUAGGUGGUCGUUUAAGUCCGUUGUGAAAGCCCUGGGCUCAACCUGGGAACUGCAGUGGAUACUGGGCGACUAGAGUGUGGUAGAGGGUAGCGGAAUUCCUGGUGUAGCAGUGAAAUGCGUAGAGAUCAGGAGGAACAUCCAUGGCGAAGGCAGCUACCUGGACCAACACUGACACUGAGGCACGAAAGCGUGGGGAGCAAACAGGAUUAGAUACCCGUGUAGUCCCUGUCUCUUAUAC
rnacentral:rRNA from 1 species